GAAAAGUAGCUCCACAUCUCUCUUCAGCACUCUGAUAUUGUCAGCCUAUUCCUCUAGCCAGAGCCUAUCAGAAACUAGAAAUAAGAAAGUAUGAAAAUGGAGUCUACAAGGGUUAGAAGCUCUUUUACCUCAGGCAUGGUACAGUAAAAGGAUGGAGACUAGAUAUGUGUGAAAGUGGUGGGCUGAAGGAAACAAACACAGUUUGUUAGCCUAGUAAAACAGGAUGGGAUUUUUUUUCCUAUAAAUGACCUUAUAGUACAUACUUGGGCUUAGUGGACCAGAGUCUCUGUAGCAACUACUCAACCAUGACUAUAUAAAGAAAAACCAGCUCUAGAUAAUACAUAAGUGAAUAGUUUGAUUUUGGACUUGGUGGAUGUGAUGAUGACUCAUCUUUGACCAUGCAGAGAAAAACAAUGUCCUAGAGAAUAGUGGGAUAAUAAAGUAUAACUAGCCUGUGUUGCUAGCACCUUGGAGCUACCCUGAGAGUCCCAUGGUUAGUUAUUCUGAUUUUAGUGAGCUGCCACAUGGAGAGGCUAUCUGUCAAGAAAGAGGGUUGUUUCCAGUCAAAAGUGGCAAGGAAAUGAGGCCCUAGGCCAACAACCUUCAAGAAAUUUGAAGCCUAGCAACAACCACAACCUACAACCACAGUUUGGAUGAGGAUCCUUCCCCACUUGUAUCUUCAGAUGAGAUCUCAGCCCUAAAUGACGCUUUGAUUGUAAAAGACCCUGAAGCAGAGGACCCAUCUUAAUCAUGUCUGUAUUUCUGACCCAAGGAAACUGUGAGAUAAUAUAGGUGUGUGUUGCUUUAACUCACUAAGUGUGUAUUAACUUAUUAUAUAAUAAUAGAUAACUAAUAUCAUUACCAAUUUAUUAGCAAAACCUGGGACGUAGGUCAAGAAAUAGUUUUAUUUUUAUUUAGCAAGGAGAAAACCAAGUUUCUGAUAAGUUAUGUUAAUGAACCCAGGGUUAU